rnacentral:rRNA from 1 species
ACAGCAGUAGCCGCGGUAAUACGAAGGGGGCUAGCGUUGUUCGGAAUUACUGGGCGUAAAGCGCACGUAGGCGGAUAUUUAAGUCAGGGGUGAAAUCCCGCAGCUCAACUGCGGAACUGCCUUUGAUACUGGGUAUCUUGAGUAUGGAAGAGGUUAGUGGAAUUGCGAGUGUAGAGGUGAAAUUCGUAGAUAUUCGCAGGAACACCAGUGGCGAAGGCGGCUAACUGGUCCAUAACUGACGCUGAGGUGCGAAAGCGUGGGGAGCAAACAGGAUUAGAUACCCGGGUAGUCCCUGUCUCUUAUAC